rnacentral:rRNA from 1 species
UACGUAGGGGGCAAGCGUUGUCCGGAAUUACUGGGCGUAAAGCGCGUGUAGGCGGGACGGCAAGUCGGACGUGAAAGGCUCGGGCUCAACCCGAGAUGGCCGUUCGAAACUGCCGUUCUUGAGGGUCGAAGAGGAGAGUGGAAUUCCUGGUGUAGCGGUGAAAUGCGCAGAUAUCAGGAAGAACACCCGUGGCGAAAGCGGCUCUCUGGAACGGUACUGACGCUGAGACGCGAAAGCGUGGGGAGCGAACAGG